AGUGAACGCUGGCGGCGUGCCUAAUACAUGCAAGUCGAACGGAGUGGCGCACGGGUGAGUAAUAUAUAGCUACUCUGCCCCUUGCUGGAGGACAACAGUUAGAAAUGAAUGCUAAUACUCCAUAGCAAGGGAUGAGACUAUAUCGUAUCAGCUAGUCGGUGGGGUAACGGCCUACCGAGGCUAUGACGCGUAACUGGUCUGAGAGGAUGAGCAGUCAAAUUGGAACUGAGACACGGUCCAAACACCUACGGGAGGCAGCAGUAGGGAAUAGUACGCAAGGGGGUAAACCCUGACGCAGCAGCGCCGCGUGGAGGAUGACACUUUUCGGAGCGUAAACUCCUUUUGUUAGGGAAGCGGUACCUAACGAAUAAGCACCGGCUAACUCCGUGCCAGCAGCCGCGGUAAUUC
rnacentral:rRNA from 1 species